rnacentral:rRNA from 1 species
UGGGGAAUUUUGGACAAUGGGCGCAAGCCUGAUCCAGCCAUGCCGCGUGCAGGAUGAAGGCCUUCGGGUUGUAAACUGCUUUUGUACGGAACGAAAAGGUGCCUUCUAAUAAAGGGCGCUCAUGACGGUACCGUAAGAAUAAGCACCGGCUAACUACGUGCCAGCAGCCGCGGUAAUACGUAGGGUGCGAGCGUUAAUCGGAAUUACUGGGCGUAAAGCGUGCGCAGGCGGUCUUGUAAGACAGAGGUGAAAUCCCCGGGCUCAACCUGGGAACUGCCUUUGUGACUGCAAGGCUGGAGUGCGGCAGAGGGGGAUGGAAUUCCGCGUGUAGCAGUGAAAUGCGUAGAUAUUCGGAGGAACACCGAUGGCGAAGGCAAUCCCCUGGGCCUGCACUGACGCUCAUGCACGAAAGCGUGGGGAGCAAACA